AUCAAUUAUAAGCGAAACUAAUUUAGAUUAUUCAUUAGGGGGAAUAGUGAAAAAGGUACGAUUCCAGGAGUAAAACGGAAAAAAGCCUAAUACGAGAUGAUACAUAUUUGGAACAACAUGAGAAUAGAAAAUAGAAAAAUAAAACCGCGUUAAAGGAGUUGUAGUGGAUAGAAAUUUUUGAAUAUCUCAAUCAUGCUAGACGUGUGCAAGCAUCAAAAAACUUUCGCGGAUUACCACCACUAAGGACAUGAUUUUGCAAAUAAUUAUCAACCUUUUCAAGGCAAACGUUGGAUGAUACCAAAUACUCCAUCAUGCGACGUGACUCAUCUAAAGUGUAAGGCUCCAUGUUAAGAAUAUGCACGGACUGUAAUGAAUCUAAUAUAGUCUCAUCAGAAGAUUUGUAAGGAUUUCUGUGAGCUACUCCAAGAGCUAUAUCCAAUGACGGGGUAGAAACACGCGGUUGGCUAGAAGUAGCAGCUAAAA